rnacentral:rRNA from 1 species
AUGGAACCUGACCACCUGUCUACCUUAGAUUUAAGGCAGACUGAGGUAAAUAAAUUACCAGAAUUUAAGGGCACGAAGUUGGUGUGUUUGCUUGCAAAUGGUCUCACAAUACCGGGAGCGGGAGGAGGAAUGGGGGAAAUGGAAAAAUUGGAGGAACUAUCAACGGUCUGUCUAGGUGGUGAUGGCUCACUUGCUGACAAUGUGGCAGGACUUGUUAGAAAGUUGAUGCGGCUGCGGAUGCUUGGGGUGAGAUUUAGGAUUACGUAUAAUAGUACUGCAGAAGAAGCGGAACGGCAGGGCAUCAAGCAUUUGGUGGAGGAGGUGGGGAAAUCAAACUUGCAGUUCCUUUUUCUUGAUGAAUACCCUCAUCGUCUGCUCGACUUACUUGUUGAUUGCUGGAGCCAUGUAAGGCCACGUUACCUGCGGAAAUUUGAGCUAAGAUUGGAUUGGCUAUUGUGCCCCCUAAAAGUCCCACAGGAGAUCUCUUCCCUUGUUGACCUCACUCACUUGCAUAUCGGACUUUCAAUAGUAGAUGCAGAAGGUGUCCGCGCCCUUGGGGGGCUGCAAAAGUUAGUCCUCCUAAAAUUGUAUUCACUGCGGCCACAACAUGGCCUCACCGGUGAACCACAAAGUCCAGGCCCAGCAAGGUUGUCCGUGAGCAGCAAGGAUGGCUUUCAGCGCCUCAAGGUGUUCUGGUACGUCUGCGAGCAUGGCGCUUGGACGGGGCUGCAGUUUGAACAAGGCUCCAUGCCGCACCUCCGAAGGCUUCUCAUUGACUUCCAGUCAUCGGAGGAUGAUACAGAUCACUUUGUGCUUGGUAUCCAGCAUUUCUCUUGUCUCGUGCAGGUCCGUGCCACCAUCUACUGUGAGCCUACUUCAACAACAGUCGUUUCUGCCGCGGAGACCCACAUCAGAGACCAAGUGUCUCAGAACCCCAACAAUCCCCUACUGGAAUUCAACAGAAAACGUCGAGGCCGUUUGGUGAGGCGUCUAGGGCCGCUCUCUAAUGUGAAGGAGCAGCCAUCGGCGGUGAUUAAGAUCCGCAGCCUGGAUGACUGGACUAUGAUGAUCGAGCAGAAGGACAAGAAGCUGCUCGUGGUUGAGUUCACCGCGAGCUGGUGCAGGGCAUCCCGCAGCAUAGCUCCCUUUUUUGCUUUUCUCGCCAACAAGUUUCCAGAUGCCAUUUUUCUCCAGGUUGAUAUUGAUGGUAUGAAAUAUAUUGCCGAGGCAUACAAAGUUGAUGGUGCGCCGAUGUUCCUUUUCAUGAACAAGGGAAAGGUUAAGGACACGCUUCGUGGCGCACACAAGGAAGAGCUGUUUGAGAAGCUUCAGCUGCAGAUGGCCCUAGUUAUGGACAACUGA